UAGGGAAUCUUCCGCAAUGGACGAAAGUCUGACGGAGCAACGCCGCUUGAGUGAAGAAGGAUUUCGGUUCGUAAACCUCUGUUGUUAGGGAAGAAAAAAUGUAUAGUAACUAUAUACAAAAGAGACGGUACCUAACCAGAAAGCCACGGCUAACUACGUGCCAGCAGCCGCGGUAAUACGUAGGUGGCAAGCGUUGUCCGGAAUUAUUGGGCGUAAAGCGCGCGCAGGUGGUUUAGAAAGUCUGAUGUGAAAGCCCACGGCUCAACCGGGGGGAGUCAUUGGAAACUAAUAAACUUGGGUGCAGGAGAGAAAAGUGGAAUUCCUAGUGUAGCGGGGAAAUGCGUAGAGAUUAGGAGGAACACCGGUGGCGAAAGCGGCUUUUUGGCCUGCAACUGACACUGAGGAGCGAAAACGUGGGGAGCAAACAGG
rnacentral:rRNA from 1 species